UAAUUAAGGUGAAAGCGGCCAAGUGGAUGCACGGAUAAAUGUGUCGCUCGAGAUGUGGCGAGUUUGUCCUUGCUCCAUGAAAACUUCUCAGAUACGCGAGCUCCUACUAGAUUUGGCUAUGCUUCCAAAUGCUUGCAAAAGGGAAUCUGCAUAGUGUGAUUAAAUGUAGCGAUGGAAAAGGCCUGCAAAAUGUCGUGCGAUGCAUUAUGUUAGCGGUUGUUUGAUGCGUGAGAAGAUUGAAAUGGUUUUAUUGGCAUUAAUGACUACUUUGGGCCUCGUUUGGGGUUUUCAAUUUGAAGUAUGGGCUUAUGAAGAGAAGUACUUUUGCUAAUAAAUCGCCUUCCAUACUCGCACUUGCCUUGUUACGUUAGGUCAUACGACCUACCGCAAACUGUGUCAUUCUAGAUUCGGCCAACCUCUCCGCCUAGAACAGAGACCAGUGAAAAUACAGUUGCUUCUCGCUACAACAAACGGGUAUAUUUCUUUCAUUGUAUACUCAUGUCUCAUGUAGCCUUGGAAUUGUGGGUUUAAAACAGAUUUUGAGUAUUUCGGCUGGGAUAUUCUUUGUGAAGAGAACACUACGAAGAAAAUAAUGAGACGUGUCUGUAGUUGGGUUUCUUCAUCCAAGAUAAGCAUUGUGUGCUCCUUUCAUUUGGAAAUGGGUUGAUUCUAUGUUUGAAUACCUGACUCAAAACCCUGUGUUUGCAGUUGUGAAUCCAGAUAGUCCCACUGCUUGGGUUCUUUACCUUGACUUGUUUACCUGCUUCUGUAAGUUGAUAAAUGGGCUUCCUGUGCUACACACCUAUUCAACCUCCCCAAAAAGCAGCAGGCGAACAUGAUAAGAAGGCUAAUUAUCAAUAACAAUUUUCUGUUCACUUACAUACUAUUGAUUUUGUUUUAUUUUAUAGCAGUCAAACAAUAGCUACGUCAACUAAAAUACUUCAUAUUUAAUUUAAUAAAAAAAUGUGCAUGUUCUUAUC